rnacentral:lncRNA from 1 species
AAAAGUAAGGAUACCUAAAGGAUUAUUUAAAGUCAAACGCACAUGUCAAAAAUGAACGGACAAUGCUACGGCAAUAAACGGAAAACGACAAAAGACAAACAACGAUCGCAAAAUAAAUAAAUACAAAGCAUAAACAAGUUAACAACCGCAAAGUAAAUGAUAAUAGUAUAAGUUAUGGACUAUUUCACAACUAUAUCAAAUCUUGAGAGCCGGG